GACGGAGGAUGCAAGUGUUAUCCGGAAUCACUGGGCGUAAAGGGCGCGUAGGCGGCUCGAUUAGUCGGGUGUGAAAUCCCUGGGCUUAACCUGGGAAUUGCAUUCGAUACUGUCGAGCUAGAGUGCGGUAGAGGGAAGCGGAAUUUCCGGUGUAGCGGUGAAAUGCGUAGAUAUCGGAAGGAACACCAGUGGCGAAGGCGGCCCCCUGGACAGAUACUGACACUCAGAUGCGAAAGCGUGGGGAGCAAACAGG
rnacentral:rRNA from 1 species